rnacentral:rRNA from 1 species
AUAUAAUUAAGGGGAGGAAAAGAAACCAACUCGGAUUCCCCUAGUAACGGCGAGUGAAGCGGGAAGAGCUCAUGUUGUAAAUCUCCAGCUUGCUGGCGAAUUGUAGUCUAAAGGUGCGUGCUCAGUCGUGGUCCCGGGCUAAGUCUGUUGGAAAACAGCAUCAUGGACGGUGACAAUCCGGUUCUUGCCUGGGGUCCCGCGGCGUACGAGCCGUUUCCGACGAGUCGUGUUGCUUGGGAUUGCAGCACUAAGUGGGUGGUAAAUUCCAUCUAAAGCUAAAUAUUGGUGGGAGACCGAUAGCGAACAAGUACCGUGAGGGAAAGAUGAAAAGACUUUUGAAAAGAGAGUAAAAUAGUACCUGAAACUGCUGAAAGGGAAGCGAUUGAAGUCAGUGUUGCUCCUGGUCUUUUUGCCGUCGCCCCCGUGGGGGUUGCGGCGUGGGGCCUGGAGCGUUUCAACAUGCGUUCUGUUCCGCGGGAAAUGUUCAGUGUGCUGGAACCUUCGGGGAAACGCACUGUUCUUGUCGUGGUUAGGACGGAGGACCUUUGCUCCUUUGACUGCGCGUUCCUCUCUCGGGUAUGCUGGUGUCUACUGCUUGCAGUUUUCAUUUUCAUGCUUGCGACUGUGCGUGUUAUUCAUGAGCGAACAUGAUGUUGAAGAAAUGGCUUUAAUUACCCC